AUUGAACGCUGGCGGCAGGCCUAACACAUGCAAGUCGAACGGUAGCACAGAGAGCUUGCUCUCGGGUGACGAGUGGCGGACGGGUGAGUAACGUCUGGGAAACUGCCCGAUGGAGGGGGAUAACUACUGGAAACGGUAGCUAAUACCGCAUAACGUCGGGAGAACAAAGUGGGGGACCUUCGGGCCUCACACCAUCGGAUGUGCCCAGAGGGGAUUAGCUAGUAGGUGGGGUAAUGGCUCACCUAGGCGACGAUCCCGAGCUGGUCUGAGAGGAUGACCAGCCACACUGGAACUGAGACACGGUCCAGACUCCUACGGGAGGCAGCAGUGGGGAAUAUUGCACAAUGGGCGCAAGCCUGAUGCAGCCAUGCCGCGUGUAUGAAGAAGGCCUUCGGGUUGUAAAGUACUUUCAGCGGGGAGGAAGGCGGUGAAGUUAAUAACUUCACCGAUUGACGUUCCCCGCAGAAGAAGCACCGGCUAACUCCGUGCCAGCCGCCGCAGUAA
rnacentral:rRNA from 1 species